rnacentral:rRNA from 1 species
GACGAACGCUGGCGGCGUGCCUAAUACAUGCAAGUCGAACGCAGUGGGGACGGGUGAGUAACACGUGGUUAACCUCCCAUCAGAGGGGAUAACACUUGGAAACAGGUGCUAAACCGAUACUGAUGGAUGGACCCGCGGUGCAUUAGCUAGUUGGUGAGGUAACGGAUCACCAAGGCCAGGAUGCAUAGCAGACCGGAGAGGGUGAUCGGGCACACCGGGAAGGAGAGAAGGCCCAGACUACAACGGGAGGGAGCAGUAGGGAAACUUAGGCAAGGGACGAAAGGGUGACCGGACAACGCCGCGUGAGGGAAAAAGGGUUUCGGAUCGUAAAACUCUGUUGUUAGAGAAGCUGUAUUUAACCAGAAAGCCACGGCUAACUACGUGCCAGCAGCCGCGGUAAUAC